GCCUCGGGUUUGCCUAGGUAGGAUCUUUUUUUCUCUUUUGAGAGAAAGCGCACUACCGGCCCGUCUCGUCCGCGUUGCGGUGAGGCGGCGCGAGAGCGUACACGUUGGGACCCGAAAGAUGGUGAACUAUGCCUGAGUAGGACGAAGCCAGAGGAAACUCUGGUGGAAGUCCGUAGCGAUUCUGACGUGCAAAUCGAUCGUCGAACUUGGGUAUAGGGGC
rnacentral:rRNA from 1 species